rnacentral:rRNA from 1 species
GACGAACGCUGGCGGCGUGCUUAACACAUGCAAGUCGAACGGAAAGGCCCUGCUUUUGUGGGGUGCUCGAGUGGCGAACGGGUGAGUAACACGUGAGUAACCUGCCCUUGACUUUGGGAUAACUUCAGGAAACUGGGGCUAAUACCGGAUAGGAGCUCCUGCUGCAUGGUGGGGGUUGGAAAGUUUCGGCGGUUGGGGAUGGACUCGCGGCUUAUCAGCUUGUUGGUGGGGUAGUGGCUUACCAAGGCUUUGACGGGUAGCCGGCCUGAGAGGGUGACCGGCCACAUGGGGACUGAGAUACGGCCCAGACUCCUACGGGAGGCAGCAGUGGGGAAUAUUGCACAGUGGGCGGAAGCCUGAGGCAGCAACGCCGCGUGCGGGAUGACGGCCUUCGGGUUGUAAACCGCUUUCGCCUGUGACGAAGCGUGAGUGACGGUAAUGGGUAAAGAAGCACCGGCUAACUACGUG